UCACCACCUCCGAUUCAUUCUCCAUUGCAGCAACCACCUCCAUCUCCAUCGUCUAUAUAUCCACCUCUCUCUGUGUGUGUUCCUUCUUGCAUUGCACUAGCCAGGGCCUAGAGCUAGGAAGAAGAAGAAGAAAGAAGAAGAAGAGGGAUGAGGAUGGAGGUGGCGGCGGCGGCGGUGGGGGAGGAGGAGGAGGCGGCGGCGGGGG
rnacentral:lncRNA from 1 species